UGAGGAAUCUUGCGCAAUGGGCGAAAGCCUGACGGAGCAACGCCGCGUGAGUGAAGAAGGUUUUCGGAUCGUAAAGCUCUGUCAACAGGGACGAAACAAGACGGUACCUGAGAAGGAAGCCACGGCAAACUACGUGCCAGCAGCCGCGGUAAUACGUAGGUGGCAAGCGUUGUCCGGAAUAACUGGGCGUAAAGCGCAUGUAGACGGCAUGAUAAGCCAAAUGUGAAAUGUAGGGGCUCAACCCCUGCACUGCGAUUGGAACUGUCAAGCUUGAGUGCAGGAGAGGCAAAUGGAAUUCCCAGUGUAGCAGUGAAAUGCGUAGAGAUUGGGAGGAACACCAGUGGCGAAGGCGAUUUGCUGGACUGCAACUGACGUUGAGAUGCGAAAGCCAGGGGAGCAAACG
rnacentral:rRNA from 1 species